UGAGGUGUCAGCACAGCAGAGA
rnacentral:siRNA from 1 species